rnacentral:rRNA from 1 species
AACGAACGCUGGCGGCAUGCCUAACACAUGCAAGUCGAACGAGACCUUCGGGUCUAGUGGCGCACGGGUGCGUAACGCGUGGGAACCUGCCCUUAGGUUCGGAAUAACUCCCCGAAAGGGGUGCUAAUACCGGAUAAUGUCUUCGGACCAAAGAUUUAUCGCCUUUGGAUGGGCCCGCGUUGGAUUAGCUAGUUGGUAGGGUAAAAGCCUACCAAGGCGACGAUCCAUAGCUGGUCUGAGAGGAUGAUCAGCCACACUGGGACUGAGACACGGCCCAGACUCCUACGGGAGGCAGCAGUGGGGAAUAUUGGACAAUGGGCGAAAGCCUGAUCCAGCAAUGCCGCGUGAGUGAUGAAGGACUUAGGGUUGUAAAGCUCUUUUACCCGGGAUGAUAAUGACAGUACCGGGAGAAUAAGCUCCGGCUAACUACGUG